rnacentral:lncRNA from 1 species
AAUCUUAUCACAACCGAUAGAUUUCAAAAAGAAAAAGUUGAAAAAGAAAAAAAAAAGCAGUUGAAAAAGAUAAAAAUGAGUUGCCAAAUGAGUUAUAAGCCAUGACAUGAGUAAUAUUAUGACUCUUUGAUUAUAUAGAGGCAAACAUCAUGUAAAAUUCUGCUUAGGAGUCCUUUUGAACUAUUAUUAUUUUUUAUAUUAGUUUAAAUAUCAAAAUUUUAUUUUU